rnacentral:rRNA from 1 species
GAUGAACGCUAGCUACAGGCUUAACACAUGCAAGUCGAGGGGCAGCAUGAACUUAGCUUGCUAAGUUUGAUGGCGACCGGCGCACGGGUGAGUAACGCGUAUCCAACCUUCCGUUUACUCAGGGAUAGCCUUUCGAAAGAAAGAUUAAUACCUGAUGGUAUGGUAAGAUUGCAUGAUAAUACCAUUAAAGAUUUAUCGGUAAACGAUGGGGAUGCGUUCCAUUAGGUAGUAGGCGGGGUAACGGCCCACCUAGCCAACGAUGGAUAGGGGUUCUGAGAGGAAGGUCCCCCACAUUGGAACUGAGACACGGUCCAAACUCCUACGGGAGGCAGCAGUGAGGAAUAUUGGUCGAAUAGGGCGGAGAGCCUGAACCAACGCCAACGUUAAGCGUGAAGGAA